rnacentral:tRNA from 1 species
UACAUACUAGCCGAAUUAGAACAGGCACUUGACUUAAAAGCAAGGGUUUACGGGUUCAACUCCUGUGUGUG